rnacentral:rRNA from 1 species
AUUGAACGCUGGCGGCAUGCUUUACACAUGCAAGUCGAACGGCAGCACGGGAGCUUGCUCCUGGUGGCGAGUGGCGAACGGGUGAGUAAUACAUAGGAACGUAUCCUGUAGUGGGGGAUAACGCAGCGAAAGCUGUGCUAAUACCGCAUACGAUCUACGGAAGAAAGCGGGGGACCUGCACGGGCCUCGCGCUAUUGGAGCGGCCUAUGUCUGAUUAGCUAGUUGGUGAGGUAAAGGCUCACCAAGGCGACGAUCAGUAGCUGGUCUGAGAGGAUGAUCAGCCACACUGGAACUGAGACACGGUCCAGACUCCUACGGGAGGCAGCAGUGGGGAAUUUUGGACAAUGGGGCAACCCUGAUCCAGCCAUGCCGCGUGAGUGAAGAAGGCC